rnacentral:rRNA from 1 species
AGUGAACGCUGGCGGCGGGCCUAACACAUGCAAGUCGAACGGCAGCACAGUAAGAUCUUGCUCUUACGGGUGGCGGGUGGCGGACGGGUGAGGAAUGCAUCGGAAUCUACUUUUUCGUGGGGGAUAACGUAGGGAAACUUACGCUAAUACCGCAUACGCCCUACGGGGGUAAGCGGGGGAUCUUCGGACCUUGCGCGGUUGGAUUAGCCGAUGUCGGAUUAGCUAGUUGGCGGGGUAAAGGCCCACCAAGGCGACGAUCCGUAGCUGGUCUGAGAGGAUGAUCGGCCACAUUGGAACUGAGACACGGUCCAGACUCCUACGGGAGGCAGCAGUCGGGAAUGUUGGGCAAUGGGCGCAAGCCUGAUCCAGCCAUACCGCGUGGGUGAAGAAGGCCUUCGGGUUGUAAAGCCCUUUUGUUGGGAAAGAACAGCAGCAGGUUAAUACGCCGCUUUUCUGACGGUACCGAAUGAAUAAGCACCGGCUAACUACGUG